rnacentral:rRNA from 1 species
AGAGUUGUAUCCUGGCUCAGAUUGAACGCUGGCGGCAUGCCUUACACAUGCAAGUCGAACGGCAGCACGGGAGCAAUCCUGGUGGCGAGUGGCGAACGGGUGAGUAAUAUAUCGGAACGUGCCCAGUCGUGGGGGAUAACGUAGCGAAAGCUACGCUAAUACCGCAUACGAUCUAUGGAUGAAAGCGGGGGAUCGCAAGACCUCGCGCGAUUGGAGCGGCCGAUAUCAGAUUAGGUAGUUGGUGAGGUAAAGGCUCACCAAGCCGACGAUCUGUAGCUGGUCUGAGAGGACGACCAGCCACACUGGGACUGAGACACGGCCCAGACUCCUACGGGAGGCAGCAGUGGGGAAUUUUGGACAAUGGGCGCAAGCCUGAUCCAGCAAUGCCGCGUGCAGGAUGAAGGCCUUCGGGUUGUAAACUGCUUUUGUACGGAACGAAACGGUGAGCUCUAAUACAGUUUGCUAAUGACGGUACCGUAAGAAUAAGCACCGGCUAACUACGUGCCAGCAGCCGCGGUAAUACGUAGGGUGCGAGCGUUAAUCGGAAUUACUGGGCGUAAAGCGUGCGCAGGCGGUGAUGUAAGACAGAUGUGAAAUCCCCGGGCUCAACCUGGGACCUGCAUUUGUGACUGCAUCGCUAGAGUACGGUAGAGGGGGAUGGAAUUCCGCGUGUAGCA